rnacentral:rRNA from 1 species
UAGGGAAUCUUCGGCAAUGGGGGGAACCCUGACCGAGCAACGCCGCGUGAGUGAAGAAGGUUUUCGGAUCGUAAAGCUCUGUUGUUAAGGAAGAACGAGUGUGAGAAUGGAAAGUUCAUACUGUGACGGUACUUAACCAGAAAGGGACGGCUAACUACGUGCCAGCAGCCGCGGUAAUACGUAGGUCCCGAGCGUUGUCCGGAUUUAUUGGGCGUAAAGCGAGUGCAGGCGGACUAGCCAGUCAGUCUUAAAAGUUCGGGGCUUAACCCCGUGAUGGGAUUGAAACUACUAGUCUAGAGUAUCGGAGAGGAAAGUGGAAUUCCUAGUGUAGCGGUGAAAUGCGUAGAUAUUAGGAAGAACACCAGUGGCGAAGGCGACUUUCUGGACGAACACUGACGCUGAGGCGCGAAAGCCAGGGGAGCGAACGGG